rnacentral:lncRNA from 10 species
CUUAAUUAGAGCCAAUUAGAGACACAAUGAGACUUUUGCAGGGAAUUCUGGGAAGGAGACUCUCACUAGAUCCUUGCUUGACUUGAGAGGUAUGAGGUUGGAACGGCUGUAGCCAUCUCCAUCUAUUGAGGGAACACGGGUUUGAGAACACAGUCAAGUCAGGACGAGAACAAGAGACGCUGGAUCUUGAGGACAGUGCUUGAGCCCUCGAAUCAAUCAAUGUCUAAACUAAUGGAGGGUCGAUGAAGACAUUUGGCCAGAGGACCCUGAAACACCUGAAUCCCACCUUUGGCUGGCUAGCCCCAUUUCUCAGCAGUGCCUUCACAGGAGCGACACGCUGGCUGACCCAAGGUGGCAAGGAGGCGUGACAGCAAUCUUCAGAGCCACCCCUUCAGUUGCCAGCCAGCUGCUCAGGGAUGCACCAUCUCGCUUUGCUGGAGCAGAGCCUUGCUCCCUCCUCUCGUCCCCAUGCCCGCCCACACCGCUUUCCCAGAGGUCAGCCACAAGUUCACAUCAAGCAACAAGCAGUGAUUACAAACUGAGUGCCUGCUGGGAAUAUCUUUCUAGUGUCAAGCAACCAUUAAAAGCACUUAAGGAAAUCACAAAAGGGAGGCGAAAGAAUACUUACAGAGAGCUAUAGGAUGGGGAGGGCAGAAGGGAAAGCGUCAGCCCACCUCCUACCUUGGAGGGAAAAACAUGACAUAAAAAGCAAAGUUGGUUCUAAAGGAUGAGCCUGAAAAAUGGAAACUGAAGAACACUGUAUCUGCCAACCACUCUCCUGCUGCAGCCAAAACACUUCAUGGUGCCUGGGAAACCUUUCGCUAACACCGAGAAAAUUACUGUGUUUUUUAAAAAAUUUAUUCAAUGAGUAUGCAUUAUAAUAGGUAUCAUUAUAAUCUCUUGUCCAAUUAGGGCUGCAUCUCUGUGAAGAAGGCAUUAUGAUUCUCUGUUUUACAGAUGUGGAAAAUGAGGUUCAGAGGGGUCAGUGACUUGACCACAUUUGGAUCUCAGGAGUGACUGGCUGCAAAACUCAUGUUCUUCCCACUAAAAAGAAGGCUGGGUGGGACUGUGAAUCUUGCCAGGCCUCAGUAGCUGUUACUCCUGGGUUAAUGAGGUGGUAGUAGUGUAAGUGGUGUGCAUUGUGUGGUGGCUUUUCCUGUCCACCUGGUUAAAAGAAGAGUCAACCUAUUUAUCUUAAGUGAGCCAAUGGAGUCUUUGAUGGAAUCUUUCUUCAGUCUUCUAGUUGUCAAUAACCAUCUAAAAGGAAAGGACUGGGAACUGAGAUAAGCAGAUGAUGUAACUUUGGGAAAGUCAUUUUCCUGAGUUUUAGUUUUCUCAUUUGUAAAAUGCAUCCAGUAAGACCUAUGUAAUAGAGUAGAUGUGAAUGCUACUAAAGACUAAAGAGAAACCCUUUUUAAAGUUCUUAAUAUUACAAUGGGCACAAGGGUAAUAUUUUAUAAAUAAUAGUUGUAACUUGUUUUAUUUCAAAUUAAAAGUUUUGGAAAAU